rnacentral:rRNA from 1 species
CUCGCUGAACUUAAGCAUAUCAAUAAGCGGAGGAAAAGAAACCAACAGGGAUUGCCUCAGUAACGGCGAGUGAAGCGGCAACAGCUCAAAUUUGAAAUCUGGCGCUGUAGGGCCGCCCAAGUUGUAAUUUGCAGAGGAUGCUUUUGGCGACGUGCCUUCCGAGUUCCCUGGAACGGGACGCCAUAGAGGGUGAGAGCCUCCGUACGGUCGGUUGCCGAGCCGUUGUAAAGCCCCUUCGACGAGUCGAGUAGUUUGGGAAUGCUGCUCUAAAUGGGAGGUAAACUCCUUCUAAAGCUAAAUAUUGGCCAGAGACCGAUAGCGCACAAGUAGAGUGAUCGAAAGAUGAAAAGCACUUUGAAAAGAGAGUCAAACAGCACGUGAAAUUGUUGAAAGGGAAGCGCUUGUGACCAGACUUGGGCCUGGUAGUUCAGCCGUCCUUCUGGGCGGUGCAUUCUGCCGGUUCAGGCCAGCAUCAGUUGCCGGUCGGGGAGAAAGAUGGUGGGAACGUGGCUCUUCGGAGUGUUAUAGCCCGCUAUUAUGCCCUUCUGGCGACUGAGGUUAGCGCAUUCGCAUGGAUGCUGGCGUAAUGGUCAUCAGCGACCCGUCUUGAAACACGG